rnacentral:rRNA from 1 species
CACGUAGGGCGCAAGCGUUGUCCGGAAUUAUUGGGCGUAAAGAGCUCGUAGGCGGUCUGUUGCGUCCGCUGUGAAAACUCGGGGCUUAACCCCGAGCCUGCAGUGGAUACGGGCAGACUAGAGGUAGGUAGGGGAGAAUGGAAUUCCCGGUGUAGCGGUGAAAUGCGCAGAUAUCGGGAGGAACAUCAGUGGCGAAAGCGGCUUCCUGGACCAGUACCGACGUUCAGGCACGAAAGCGUGGGGAGCAAACAGG